rnacentral:rRNA from 1 species
UACUUGGUGUUACUGCGAAGGGGGGACGGAGAAGGCUAUGUUGGCCGGGCGACGGUUGUCCCGGUUUAAGCGUGUAGGCUGGUUUUCCAGGCAAAUCCGGAAAAUCAAGGCUGAGGCGUGACGACGAGGCACUACGGUGCUGAAGCAACAAAUGCCCUGCUUCCAGGAAAAGCCUCUAAGCAUCAGGUAACAUCAAAUCGUACCCCAAACCGACACAGGUGGUCAGGUAGA